UUAUGCUUAUUUUUUACUAAUAAAUUAAAAGAUAUGUAAAAUUUUAAGCAAGAUCAAUAAUUUAAUUGAUAGAUAUUGAGGCUCUAAAACUAUCUUAGGGUUGAUUUGAAUUAAUUGGAUUUUGAUUAGGAUUUAUUUAGAAAUUUAUUAGGAUUUUAUUUAGGAUUUAAAAUUUGAUUAAGAAUUAAUUUAGGAUUUAGGAUCUAAUUAGGAUUGAUUUAGGAUUUCUUUAGGAUUUCUUUUAGAUUUCUUUUGGAUU
rnacentral:lncRNA from 1 species